CCUACGGGGUGCAGCAGUGGGGGAUAUUGCACAAUGGGGGAAACUCUGAUGCAGCGAUGCCGCGUGAAUGAAGACGGCUUUCGGGUUGUAAAGUUCUUUUGCAGGGGACGAAAAUGACGGUACCCUGCAAGAAAGCUCCGGGUAACUCGGUGCCAGCAGCCGCGGUAAUACGUGGGGAGCAAGCGUUGUCCGGAAUUACUGGGUGUAAAGGGGGCGUAGGCGGGGGGAUAAGUUGAAUGUGAAUUCUAUGGGCUCAACCCAUAGCUGCGUUCAAGACUGUUCUUCUUGAGUGGAGUAGAGGCAGGCGGAAUUCCUGGUGUAGCGGUGAAAUGCGUAGAUAUUAGGAGGAACACCAGUGGCGAAGGCGGCCUGCUGG
rnacentral:rRNA from 1 species